rnacentral:rRNA from 1 species
GACGAACGCUGGCGGCGUGCUUAACACAUGCAAGUCGAACGGAAAGGCCCUGCUUUUGUGGGGUGCUCGAGUGGCGAACGGGUGAGUAACACGUGAGUAACCUGCCCUUGACUUUGGGAUAACUUCAGGAAACUGGGGCUAAUACCGGAUAGGAGCUCCUGCUGCAUGGUGGGGGUUGGAAAGUUUCGGCGGUUGGGGAUGGACUCGCGGCUUAUCAGCUUGUUGGUGGGGUAGUGGCUUACCAAGGCUUUGACGGGUAGCCGGCCUGAGAGGGUGACCGGCGACAUUGGGACUGAGAUACGGCCCAGACGCCUACGGGAGGCAGCAGUGGGGAAUAUUGCACAAUGGGCGGAAGCCUGAUGCAGCAACGCCGCGUGCGGGAUGACGGCCUUCGGGUUGUAAACCGCUGUCGCCUGUGACGAAGCGGGAGUGACGGUAAUGGGUAAAGAAGCACCGGCUAACUACGUG